UUUAUGUUUUGAGUUUUUAGAAGUAAGUUACCUGGUGAUGCAGAGGAAGUGAGAACUCAAUUAGGCCUGGCGGGAUAGACUUAUAAUUCCCAGGAAACUGAGGUGGGGGGACAGGACAGCAGCCUGCAGUUUCAAAUCUCCCUUUAUCAUCAGCACUGGGCCCUUCUGUAGGCGGAGAGCCCCAUACUCGUGUCUGGCUGACUUCCAUGGCUACCAGAAUAGGUGUCAAAGGUCACAUAUAUCCCUCCUAGCUGGAAUGCCAAUCCUGGAAGUUGGAGGACAAACCGCUCCCCCAGGUGCAUCUUGGGAAAGUCGUUCAGAAAGAAUAAAACUCAUUGGACCAAGAGCUGCUAUGAGAGGUCAAAGGGCGAGAGUCCUGGCUGUGAGGCCCAGCCUCUGUGGGUCCUAUAUAUAUAACAGCAACCCUCUGUCCUAUUGUCCCACCUCUUGCUGGGCCUGGUGGGACAUUCACCCAACAACUUGAUUUGAGGAGAGCCAAGCACACGUAGAACAGAAUUUGUAAAGGAUCGGACUCCAGGUGUGCAUUCAGGAGAGGCGCCCCCAUUGAGCUUGUUUCCCCAGGGAAGCUCUUCUCUGGAAACACCAUGCAGGGGGAGGGUACGCAGAGCCAUAUGAUGGCUUGGAAGCAGAGCGAGAUAGCUCCUUUCCUCCCAUGAGUGACCGAACCAUUCUGCUGUUAGGAGUAGAAGUCUAAGUCUCUGACAUAUCGAGUCACACUGGAAACCCUAAAGGCUUUUCAUGCACGGUCCUGGGAGGGGGUGGGUUAAAGGCUGGCGAGUCUCUGUGGAAACACCUCUGUCCCAUGGCCUGGUCCCUCAGCUCCCAGGAGCUGCUUUGUCCCUAGGGAAAGUGUCAGAGGCAGGAAGUUUGAGUCAGAAGGUAAUUACAAUUACAGCUGAUCCUGAGCAGCGCUGAAGACUGGGAAGAUCCAUUUCGCAGAUGGUUUCAUUAGCGUGUUCGAAUGUGACUUUUGAAGCACCAUUUGAUAUUUUUCUUUUUAAUCCCAUGUCUGAAGAAGGGUGGUCCCACGUUGCUGUGUUGUUAAAUUAUCCAGAAGAUUAAAAUGGACUGUUGAAAAUAACUCUUAGGUCAUAGUUUUACUUCAUUUUAACACUUGUUUAUGUUCUGGAUUUACAUAGGAAGCACAUUAUUCAGGAUAGUCCCCACACGGUCCUGCCAGAACUCUGUAUUUUAGUUUACGGCCGGGGACAACCCGAAUGUGGGAAAAGGUUGAUUAAGCUCAAUGGGUAGCUGGUUGGUGGAAUUCGCUAGAGUUUAGCUCAGUUAAAUUCUCCUGAAGAUUCAAAGUGGAAGGAAAGACGGGAUUUAGCCUGGCAGCAGAGACGAACUGAAAGGUUGGCUUAUCUGUCACUCACAAACCCCCGAGCCUGGCCCAUGCAGACCCCGGGGCCAUAUCCACCUCUGUCCCCUGCAGUGCGCACGGCUCACAACUGGGCCCAAGAUCCUGGCACCAGUGUAGUCUGUGAAAACCGCACUCAUUUAAAACAGGCCUCUGAACGUCUCCUGUAUCUUUAGCCCCAGGAUGCCAGAGGCAGAAGCCAGGAAAUAGCUUUCUGCCACCUCUUAAC
rnacentral:lncRNA from 1 species